rnacentral:rRNA from 1 species
AGAACGAACGCUGGCGGCAUGCCUAAUACAUGCAAGUCGAACGAGAUCUUCGGAUCUAGUGGCGCACGGGUGCGUAACGCGUGGGAAUCUACCCUUGGGUUCGGAAUAACAGUUGGAAACGACUGCUAAUACCGGAUGAUGACGAAAGUCCAAAGAUUUAUCGCCCAAGGAUGAGCCCGCGUAGGAUUAGCUAGUUGGUGAGGUAAAGGCUCACCAAGGCUACGAUCCUUAGCUGGUCUGAGAGGAUGAUCAGCCACACUGGGGACUGAGACACGGCCCAGACUCCUACGGGAGGCAGCAGUGGGGAAUUUUGGACAAUGGGCGAAAGCCUGAUCCAGCCAUGCCGCGUGCAGGAUGAAGGCCUUCGGGGUUGUAAACUGUC